rnacentral:rRNA from 1 species
ACGAACGCUGGCGGCACGCCUAACACAUGCAAGUCGAGCGGAGAUUGAGAGCUUGCUCUCAUGAUCAGCGGCGGACGGGUGAGUAACACGUGAGCAACCUGCCUUUCAGAGGGGGACAACAGUUGGAAACGACUGCUAAUACCGCAUAACAUUGCCGAACGGCAUCGUUUGGCAAUCAAAGGAGCAAUCCGCUGAAAGAUGGGCUCGCGUCUGAUUAGAUAGUUGGUGAGGUAACGGCCCACCAAGUCGACGAUCAGUAGCCGGACUGAGAGGUUGAUCGGCCACAUUGGGACUGAGACACGGCCCAGACUCCUACGGGAGGCAGCAGUGGGGGAUAUUGGACAAUGGGGGAAACCCUGAUCCAGCGAUGCCGCGUGAGGGAAGAAGGUUUUCGGAUUGUAAACCUCUGUGGACAGGGACGAUAAUGACGGUACCUGUUUAGAAAGCCACGGCUAACUACGUGCCAGCAGCCGCGGUAAUACGUAGGUGGCGAGCGUUGUCCGGAAUUACUGGGUGUAAAGGGAGUGUAGGCGGGAAGGCAAGUCAGAAGUGAAAAUUAUGGGCUUAACCCAUAACCUGCUUUUGAAACUGUUUUUCUUGAGUGAGGCAGAGGCAAGCGGAAUUCCUAGUGUAGCGGUGAAAUGCGUAGAUAUUAGGAGGAACACCAGUGGCGAAGGCGGCUUGCUGGGCCUUUACUGACGCUGAGGCUCGAAAGCGUGGGGAGCAAACAGGAUUAGAUACCCUGGUAGUCCACGCCGUAAACGAUGAGUGCUAAGUGUUGGAGGGUUUCCGCCCUUCAGUGCUGCAGCUAACGCAUUAAGCACUCCGCCUGGGGAGUACGACCGCAAGGUUGAAACUCAAAGGAAUUGACGGGGGCCCGCACAAGCAGUGGAGUAUGUGGUUUAAUUCGAAGCAACGCGAAGAACCUUACCAGGUCUUGACAUCGAGUGACGAUCCCAGAGAUGGGAUUUCCCUUCGGGGCACGAAGACAGGUGGUGCAUGGUUGUCGUCAGCUCGUGUCGUGAGAUGUUGGGUUAAGUCCCGCAACGAGCGCAACCCUUACUAUUAGUUGCUACGCAAGAGCACUCUAAUAGGACUGCCGUUGAUAAAACGGAGGAAGGUGGGGAUGACGUCAAAUCAUCAUGCCCUUUAUGACUUGGGCUACACACGUGCUACAAUGGCGUAAACAAAGGGAAGCGAACCUGUGAGGGUGGGCAAAUCUCAAAAAUAACGUCCCAGUUCGGACUGCAGUCUGCAACUCGACUGCACGAAGUCGGAAUCGCUAGUAAUCGCAGGUCAGCAUACUGCGGUGAAUACGUUCCCGGGCCUUGUACACACCGCCCGUCAAACCAUGAGAGUUGGCAACACCCGAAGCCGGUAGUCUAACCGCAAGGAGGACGCCGUCGAAGGUGGGGUCGAUGAUUAGGGUU